GGGGCGGUAGUUCAGCUGGUUAGAACGCCGGCCUGUCACGUCGGAGGUCACGGGUUCGAUCCCCGUCCGCCCCGCCA
rnacentral:tRNA from 1 species